rnacentral:rRNA from 1 species
GACGAACGCUGGCGGCGUGCCUAACACAUGCAAGUCGAGCGAAUGAAGUUCCUUCGGGAAUGGAUUUAGCGGCGGACGGGUGAGUAACACGUGGGCAACCUGCCUCAUAGAGGGGAAUAGCCUUCCGAAAGGGAGAUUAAUACCGCAUAAGAUUGUAGUAUCGCACGAUACAGCAAUUAAAGGAGCAAUCCGCUAUGAGAUGGGCCCGCGGCGCAUUAGCUAGUUGGUGAGGUAACGGCUCACCAAGGCGACGAUGCGUAGCCGACCUGAGAGGGUGAUCGGCCACAUUGGGACUGGGACACGGCCCAGACUCCUACAGGAGGCAGCAGUGGGGAAUAUUGCACAAUGGGGGAAACCCUGAUGCAGCAACGCCGCGUGAGUGAUGACGGCCUUCGGGUUGUAAAGCUCUGUCUUCAGGGACGAUAAUGACGGUACCUGAGGAGGAAGCCACGGCUAACUACGUG